rnacentral:rRNA from 1 species
AACACAUGCAAGUCGAGCGAUGAAAUUUCGACAGAUCCCUUCGGGGUGAAGAUGAAAUGGAUUAGCGGCGGACGGGUGAGUAACACGUGAGUAACCUGCCUUAGACAUUGGGAUAGCCUCGGGAAACCGGGAUUAAUACCAAAUGAAAUCACAUAUGCACAUGCAUAAAUGAUCAAAGCUCCGGCGGUCUAAGAUGGACUCGCGUCCCAUUAGCUAGUUGGUGAGGUAACGGCCCACCAAGGCGACGAUGGGUAGCCGGCCUGAGAGGGUGAACGGCCACAUUGGAACUGAGAAACGGUCCAAACUCCUACGGGAGGCAGCAGUGGGGAAUAUUGCACAAUGGAGGGAACUCUGAUGCAGCGACGCCGCGUGAACGAAGAAGGCUUUCGAGUCGUAAAGUUCUUUUAUAUGGGAAGAUAAUGACGGUACCAUAAGAAAAAGCCCCGGCUAACUACGUGCCAGCAGCCGCGGUAAUACGUAGGGGGCUAGCGUUGUCCGGAAUCACUGGGCGUAAAGGGUUCGCAGGCGGAAAUGCAAGUCAGGUGUAAAAGGCAGUAGCUUAACUACUGUAAGCAUUUGAAACUGCAUAUCUUGAGAAGAGUAGAGGUAAGUGGAAUUUUUAGUGUAGCGGUGAAAUGCGUAGAUAUUAAAAAGAAUACCGGUGGCGAAGGCGACUUACU